ensembl:lncRNA
GCCUUGCGCUUGCUAGGCAAGUGCUUUACCACUGAGCUAAAUCCCCAACCCCCCUUAACUUCUUUUUUCAGCGUCUUAAAACUUUCAUUAUAGAGGUCUUUAAUAUCCUUGGCUAAGUUCAUUCUCGGGUUCUGUGUGUCAUUUGCUGACCAUGAUUAUCAGCUUGAAUUUUUUGGUUGGUUCUUUAGGAGCCCUUGUGUAUAGGAUUGGUACUAUCUGAAAAAAAGAGAUACUGCUUUUCUUAUUGGUAUCCCUUCUCUUUUUUUAUUAGUCUGUCUUCAAGCAUGGUAUGGACUAGAAGUAGAAAGAAUGGAAACCUUUGUCUUAUUCCUGAUCUUAGUAGAAAUACUUUGAGUUCUUCUCUAGUAUGAUGUUGGCUAUAAGUUUGUUAUAUGUAGUCUUUAUUAUAUUGAGGUAUGCUCCCUCCAUGUCUAGCCUUUCCAUGACUCUGGUCUUGAAGGGAUACUGGGUAUGUCAAAAGCCUUUUCUAUGACUUUCAUGUGAUUUCUGGGUUUUGGUCCAUUUCUUUUAUGAAUUAUAUUUAUUGAAUUAUGUAUGUUGAAUCAUCCCCAUAUCAUUGACAUAGUCAUGAUAAAUACUUUUCAGUGUGAUGUUAUAUUUUAAGGAUUUUUGUCUUUAUAAUCAUUGGAGAGAUCAGUCUAAUUUUUGCACAUGUGUAUGCAGUAUUUACCUGAUUUUGGUAUCAGAAUAACUAGAUUCGUAAAGAGUUUGGAAGAUGCCAGGCAUGAUUGUGUAAUCCCAGCACUCUGAAGGCAGAGGGCAAGCAAAUCUCUGUGAGUUGAAGGCAAGCCUGGUCUACAUAGGAGUUCUAGGAUAGCCAGGACUACAUAGAGAAACUGUGUCUCUUAGGGUAUGUCCCAUACUUUUCCGAGUUGUAUUGAAAUCUGUUGUAAUACCUUUUUACCUUCAUUUUUUUUUUUUAAUUUGGGUCUUUUGACUAAUUUUUAAGGGUUUUGAUAAUUUUUUCUAAAAACACCCUCUUCAUUUCACU